rnacentral:rRNA from 1 species
UACGGAGGGGGCAAGCGUUGUUCGGAAUUACUGGGCGUAAAGGGCGCGCAGGCGGCUGCUCAAGUCAGGCGUGAAAGGCCUGGGCUCAACCCGGGAAUGGCGAUGGAUACUGGCUCGCUAGAGUGCGGUAGAGGAGAGUGGAAUUCCCGGUGUAGCAGUGAAAUGCGUAGAGAUCGGGAGGAACAUCAGUUGCGAAGGCGGCUCUCUGGACCAGCACUGACACUGAGGCACGAAAGCGUGGGGAGCAAACAGG